rnacentral:rRNA from 1 species
UACGGAGGGGGCUAGCGUUGUUCGGAAUUACUGGGCGUAUAGCGCACGUAGGCGGAUUUGUAAGUCAGGGGUGAAAUCCCGGGGCUCAACCUCGGAACUGCCUUUGAUACUGCAAAUCUCGAGUCCGGAAGAGGUGAGUGGAAUUCCUAGUGUAGAGGUGAAAUUCGUAGAUAUUAGGAAGAACACCAGUGGCGAAGGCGGCUCACUGGUCCGGUACUGACGCUGAGGUGCGAAAGCGUGGGGAGCAAACAGG